AUUGAACGCUGGCGGCAUGCCUAACACAUGCAAGUCGAACGGGGCAGCAAUGCCUAGUGGCGGACGGGUGAGGAAUACGUAGGAAUCUGCCCUUAAGUGGGGGAUAACCAGGGGAAACCCUGACUAAUACCGCAUGAUCUCUUCGGAGCAAAGAGGGGGACCGCAAGGCCUCUCGCUUCUGGAUGAGCCUACGUCUGAUUAGCUAGUUGGUAGGGUAAAGGCCUACCAAGGCGACGAUCAGUAACUGGUCUGAGAGGACGAUCAGUCACACCGGAACUGAGACACGGUCCGGACUCCUACGGGAGGCAGCAGUGGGGAAUAUUGGACAAUGGGCGCAAGCCUGAUCCAGCAAUGCCGCGUGUGUGAAGAAGGCCUUCGGGUUGUAAAGCACUUUAGCCUGGAAGAAAAAACUUUGGUUAACACCCAAAGUCUUGACGGUACCAGGAGAAUAAGCACCGGCUAACUCUGUGCCAGCAGCCGCAGUAAAAC
rnacentral:rRNA from 1 species